rnacentral:snoRNA from 1 species
GUGAUGAGAAUCAUGCCCAAAGGCAAAAUGCCUGAUCCUGGGGUAGCUGA